rnacentral:lncRNA from 1 species
UUUUAAAAACCACAAGGUUCAUUACGCACAAGCACCCGUAGCUUUUGAAAACCAAAGUACUAAAAAAGACUAAAAAAAGCUGAGGUUAUUGUACAUUGGGCUGUCAUUGACUCAUUUUUUACCCCUUUCGAAAUUGCAAACCAUCUGGACCAAAACUUUCCUUCAACAAUUAAUAUUCAAAUAUUGUUCUCCUAAUUUCCUUCCCUGAAAAGUGCACCAACUUGUGAAGGAGCCCAUUAAAACCUGAAAACAUGUAUAACCUCCCAUUAAAGCAGAUCUCCUUUUGAUAUGCUCUUGACUGCCCACCUUGUUGCUUCUCUCGUCCAUCACCUUGCCAAUUACCAAAUCAC